rnacentral:rRNA from 1 species
GAUGAACGCUGGCGGCGUGCCUAAUACAUGCAAGUCGAGCGAACGGACGAGAAGCUUGCCUCUCUGAUGUUAGCGGCGGACGGGUGAGUAACACGUGGAUAACCUACCUAUAAGACUGGGAUAACUUCGGGAAACCGGAGCUAAUACCGGAUAAUAUUUUGAACCGCAUGGUUCAAAAGUGAAAGACGGUCUUGCUGUCACUUAUAGAUGGAUCCGCGCUGCAUUAGCUAGUUGGUAAGGUAACGGCUUACCAAGGCAACGAUGCAUAGCCGACCUGAGAGGGUGGUCGGCCACACUGGAACUGAGACACGGUCCAGACUCCUACGGGAGGCAGCAGUAGGGAAUCUUCCGCAAUGGGCGAAAGCCUGACGGAGCAAAGCCGCGUGAGUGAUGAAGGUCUUCGGAUCGUAAAACUCUGUUAUUAGGGAAGAACAUAUGUGUAAGUAACUGUGCACAUCUUGACGGUACCUAAUCAGAAAGCCACGGCUAACUACGUG